CCAAAGAGCAAUACUACACGAAUGUAGUUCCUAGAGGCUGUAUUGCAACUGGACAUUUUUCAAAGCUCCUUGAAAGCCGUGAGCAAACAUACUGAGCUUCCCAAUUUACUGCAAACAAUAAAGAGUCAGAAUGCCUCUGUGACCUGCUUUUGGAAGAAAUAUUCAUCUGGUUCAGAGACAGAGCGCAAUCCAACUCAACGGGGGAUAAUGUGGAAUCAUCCCGAAGAGAUGUGGGAGACCAACUAUGAUUCUUGCCCAAUGUCCUCAGAGCAGGAGGAGAGACAGUGCAGCCUCUGCCUUUGCUGUGCAAAGAGUUCCAUUCACUUCAGGCAGACUCUGAGCUCAAACCAAGAGGUACCAGAAAGUACAGUACCUGGACUAUGGAGUGGCACAGACUGCAGCUGCUGCUUCAUUGCCAUCCUGGACUGGCUUAUUCCCAGAUAUUAUCACCUAUAGGAACAAGAUGACUUUCCAAACCCUGAAAUGAUCAAAUUUUCAGAUUCAAUAUGAA